UACAGAGGGUGCAAGCGUUAAUCGGAAUUACUGGGCGUAAAGCGUGCGUAGACGGUUACAUAAGUCGGGUGUGAAAGCCCCGGGCUCAACCUGGGAAUUGCAUUCGAGACUGCGUAGCUAGGGUGCGGAAGAGGGAAGCGGAAUUUCCGGUGUAGCGGUGAAAUGCGUAGAUAUCGGGAAGAACACCCGUGGCGAAGGCGGGUCUCUGGGCAACUCCUGACGCUGAGGCGCGAAAGCGUGGGGAGCAAACGGG
rnacentral:rRNA from 1 species